UACGUAGGGUGCAGGCGUUAAUCGGAAUUACUGGGCGUAAAGCGUGCGCAGGCGGUCUUUUAAGUCAGAUGUGAAAUCCCCGGGCUUAACCUGGGAACUGCGUGUGAUACUGGCGGGCUUGAAUUCGGGAGAGGGAUGUGGAAUUCCAGGUGUAGCGGUGAAAUGCGUAGAUAUCUGGAGGAACACCGGUGGCGAAGGCGGCAUCCUGGACCGAGAUUGACGCUGAGGCGCGAAAGCUAGGGGAGCAAACGGG
rnacentral:rRNA from 1 species